CUUAUAUUUUCAUGAUACUCUCACCAUUGAAGAUGCGUAGGAUACGUUGUUUUCAAAAGAGAUGGUUGGAUCUAAGGUCAGAGAUGAAGAAGGCCUUAUUGUUCAUGGUGAUCGGAGAAUGGGUAAGCUGAGGUCAAAUUUCAGUAAUCAGAUUUGUUAUUAUUACAAGAAGAAAUGAUACAUUAGGAGGAAUUGUGACAAAUUGUAGAACAAAGUCAUUUGAUUGCAAAAAGCAAUCAAAUACUUCAGAUGAGACAACCUAGCUGAGAACUAUUUGAGUAAUGGAGAAGUUUUGAUGAUUUCUGACAUGGAAUCCAAACCUAAUGAGUAAUGAAUUUGGGAUACAAAUUGUGCAUUCCAUAUGUAUCAUAAUCGAGAUUUGUUUGAAACAUAUGAAAUGGUGAUGCAAUAUGUCGUUG
rnacentral:lncRNA from 1 species